rnacentral:lncRNA from 11 species
AGGGGGAAAAGGAAAGGGCCUGAGGUUGUGAGGAAUGCUGGGAGUUGAAGUCCAAAACACCUGGAAGGCCCAACUUCGGAGCCCGCGAAGCCUAUCGUGGCUCUAGAAGGCGGGACAAGCCCCCGCCCCUUUUCCACUCUCAGCCAAUUACCUGGCGGCUCACUCCGGCGCGCGCUGAAUUUAACCCUUCCCUCCCUCCCGAUUGGCCGGAUCCGUUCCAGAUUGGCAGAGCUACUCAGGCUGCGUCACCGGGCUGAGGAGCAAAGAAGGGCGCCGCUUUUGUUACAGGCUCAAAGCUGUGAAGUGAAGUGAUGAUGGCAGCAUUUCCUAUUUCCCAGGCUUGUACGUAUAAUACUUCCCUAUGCUCUUUGUUUAUAUAGAUUCAGGAUAAAAGAAGGCUCUUUUAAAGUUAACUUUCUGGGUGAGACUGGAUAAGUUUUUGUCUGGUUUCUUAAAUUCAUUUUGCUAGUGUUUAAGAAAUGGGAUAAAAAAAUAUUUGGUGAGAUAAAAUGAAUGCUUCAAUAUAGUAUACACAUGCCAUUAUGAGUCAUGAGAACUUUGGAAAGGAUCAAC